rnacentral:misc_RNA from 1 species
UACAGAGGGUGCAAGCGUUAUUCGGAAUUACUGGGCGUAAAGAGCGUGUAGGCUGUUCGAUAAGUCUGGUGUGAAAUCCCUGGUCUCAAGCCAGGAAGUGCAUUGGAUACUGUCGGACUAGAGUGCAGGAGAGGUAAGCGGAAUUCCCGGUGUAGAGGUGAAAUUCGUAGAUAUCGGGAGGAACAACAGAGGCGAAGGCGGCUUACUGGACUGUUGCUGACGCUAAGGCGCGAAAGCGUGGGGAGCAAACAGG